rnacentral:rRNA from 1 species
UACGUAGGGGGCAAGCGUUGUCCGGAUUUAUUGGGCGUAAAGAGCGUGUAGGCGGCUAGGUAGGUCCGUUGUGAAAACUCGAGGCUCAACCUCGAGACGUCGAUGGAAACCAUCUAGCUAGAGUCCGGAAGAGGAGAGUGGAAUCCCUGGUGUAGCGGUGAAAUGCGCAGAUAUCAGGAAGAACACCCGUGGCGAAGGCGGCUCUCUGGUACGUGACUGACGCUGAGACGCGAAAGCGUGGGGAGCGAACAGG